GCCUUCGGGCAGCGGGAAGGGAAACUGAGUGGCGAACGGGUGAGUAACACGUGAGGAACCUGCCUAUCAGAGGGGGACAACAGUUGGAAACGACUGCUAAUACCGCAUAAGACCACAUUGCCGCAUGGCAAAGUGAUCAAAGGAGAAAUCCGCUGAGAGAUGGCCUCGCGCCCGAUUAGGUAGUUGGUGGGGUAAAGGCUCACCAAGCCGACGAUCGGUAGCCGGACUGAGAGGUUGAACGGCCACAUUGGGACUGAGACACGGCCCAGACUCCUACGGGAGGCAGCAGUGGGGGAUAUUGCACAAUGGGGGAAACCCUGAUGCAGCGACGCCGCGUGAGGGAAGAAGGUAUUCGUAUUGUAAACCUCUGUCUUCGGGGACGAAACAAAUGACGGUACCCGAGGAGGAAGCACCGGCUAACUACGUGCCAGCAGCCGCGGUAAAACGUAGGGUGCAAGCGUUGUCCGGAAUUACUGGGUGUAAAGGGAGCGCAGGCGGAAAGAUAAGUUGAAUGUGAAAACUAUGGGCUCAACCCAUAACGGUCGUUCAAAACUAUUUUUCUUGAGUGAAGUAGAGGCAAGUGGAAUUCCCGGUGUAGCGGUGGAAUGCGUAGAUAUCGGGAGGAACACCAGUGGCGAAGGCGGCUUGCUGGGCUUU
rnacentral:rRNA from 1 species